CCCUAAUUACACUUGUUUGUGCAAAUUGAAAUUUAAAAUCUUUAAGUGAUAUUUCUUGGUCUUUAAAAUUGACUCUGUCCUAGUUUCAUUUCAAAUUAUGUAAAAAAAAUAAUUAGUCUCAGACUGUCUUUAAAUUUUAACUCUAAACAACAGGCUCUAAAGAGCAUGAAUCGAUCACCUGUAAUUUUUUGGUUAAAUCUUGCAUCAAUGAGUAUUUGUGCCUUUCAAUAUAUAUCAAUUUUUUUUU
rnacentral:lncRNA from 1 species